UGAUAAACGCCAUUCAGAAAAGACC
rnacentral:piRNA from 1 species